AUACGUAGGGGGCAAGCGUUAUCCGGAUUUACUGGGUGUAAAGGGAGCGUAGACGGAAUGGCAAGUCUGAUGUGAAAGGCCGGGGCUCAACCCCGGGACUGCAUUGGAAACUGUCAGGCUAGAGUGCAGGAGGGGUAAGCGGAAUUCCUAGUGUAGCGGUGAAAUGAGUAGAUAUUAGGAGGAACACCGGUGGCGAAGGCGUAUUCAGGGACGGUAACAGACGUUGAGGCUCGAAAGCGUGGGGAGCAAACAUGAUGAAAUACCCUGGUAGUCCACGCCGUAAACGAUGAUUACUAGGUGUUGGGAGACAAUAGUUUCUCGGUGCCGCAGCAAACGCAAUAAGUAUUCCACCUGGGGAGUACGGUCGCAAGAAUGAAACUCAAAUGAAUUGACGGGG
rnacentral:rRNA from 1 species